GCUUACUUGGGGCCAGCGGCGGCGGUAAUACGAAGGGGGCAAACGUUGCUCGGAAUCAUUGGGCGUAAAGCGCACGUAGGCGGCAUUGCAAGUCGGAUGUGAAAGCCCUCGGCUUAACCAAGGAAGUGCAUCCGAAACUGCCGUGCUUGAGUACGAAAGAGGAUCGCGGAAUUCCCGGUGUAGAGGUGAAAUUCGUAGAUAUCGGGAGGAACACCAGUGGCGAAGGCGGCGAUCUGGGUCGAUACUGACGCUGAGGUGCGAAAGCGUGGGGAGCAAACAGGAUUAGAUACCCUUGUAGUC
rnacentral:rRNA from 1 species